GGGUAAGAAAGUGACGGGUGCCGCGGUAAUACGUAGGGGGGUGAGGUUGUUCGGAGUUACGGGGCUGAAAGGGUGUGUAGGCGGUUGGUCAAGUUGGAUGUGAAAGCCUUGAGCUCAACUCAAGAAAUGCAGUCAGGACUGGAUGACUAGAGGAACGGAGAGGAUAGUAGAAUUCCCAGUGUAGUGGUGAAAUACGUAGAGAUUGGGAAGAACACCAGUGGCGAAGGCGGCUAUCUGGACGGUUUCUGACGCUAAGACGCGAAAGCGUGGGGAGCAAACAGGAUUAGAUACCCAGUAGUC
rnacentral:rRNA from 1 species